rnacentral:rRNA from 1 species
UUAAGCGACUAAGCGUACACGGUGGAUGCCCUGGCAGUCAGAGGCGAUGAAGGACGUGCUAAUCUGCGAAAAGCGUCGGUAAGGUGAUAUGAACCGUUAUAGCCGGCGAUGUCCGAAUGGGGAAACCCAGUGUGAUUCGUCACACUAUCGUUAACUGAAUACAUAGGUUAACGAGGCGAACCGGGGGAACUGAAACAUCUAAGUACCCCGAGGAAAAGAAAUCAACCGAGAUUCCCCAGUAGCGGCGAGCGAACGGGGAGCAGCCCAGAGUCUGAAUCAGCUUGUGUGUUAGUGGAACGGUCUGGAAAGUCCGACGGUACAGGGUGAUAGUCCCGUACACCAAAAUGCACAGGCUGUGAACUCGAAGAGUAGGGCGGGACACGUGGUAUCCUGUCUGAAUAUGGGGGGACCAUCCUCCAAGGCUAAAUACUCCUGACUGACCGAUAGUGAACCAGUACCGUGAGGGAAAGGCGAAAAGAACCCCGGCGAGGGGAGUGAAAAAGAACCUGAAACCGUGUACGUACAAGCAGUGGGAGCACCUUCGGGUGUGACUGCGUACCUUUUGUAUAAUGGGUCAGCGACUUAUAUUCUGUAGCAAGGUUAACCGUAUAGGGGAGCCGCAGGGAAACCGAGUCUUAACUGGGCGUUAAGUUGCAGGGUAUAGACCCGAAACCCGGUGAUCUAGCCAUGGGCAGGUUGAAGGUUGGGUAACACUAACUGGAGGACCGAACCGACUAAUGUUGAAAAAUUAGCGGAUGACUUGUGGCUGGGGGUGAAAGGCCAAUCAAACUGGGAGAUAGCUGGUUCUCCCCGAAAGCUAUUUAGGUAGCGCCUCGUGAAUUCAUCUUCGGGGGUAGAGCACUGUUUCGGCUAGGGGGUCAUCCCGACUUACCAACCCGAUGCAAACUACGAAUACCGAAGAAUGUUAUCACGGGAGACACACGGCGGGUGCUAACGUCCGUCGUGAAGAGGGAAACAACCCAGACCGCCAGCUAAGGUCCCAAAGUCAUGGUUAAGUGGGAAACGAUGUGGGAAGGCACAGACAGCCAGGAUGUUGGCUUAGAAGCAGCCAUCAUUUAAAGAAAGCGUAAUAGCUCACUGGUCGAGUCGGCCUGCGCGGAAGAUGUAACGGGGCUAAACCAUGCACCGAAGCUGCGGCAGCGACACUAUGUGUUGUUGGGUAGGGGAGCGUUCUGUAAGCCUGCGAAGGUGUGCUGUGAGGCAUGCUGGAGGUAUCAGAAGUGCGAAUGCUGACAUAAGUAACGAUAAAGCGGGUGAAAAGCCCGCUCGCCGGAAGACCAAGGGUUCCUGUCCAACGUUAAUCGAGGCAGGGUGAGUCGACCCCUAAGGCGAGGCCGAAAGGCGUAGUCGAUGGGAAACAGGUUAAUAUUCCUGUACUUGGUGUUACUGCGAAGGGGGGACGGAGAAGGCUAUGUUAGCCGGGCGACGGUUGUCCCGGUUUAAGCAUGUAGGCUGGUUGUCCAGGCAAAUCCGGAUAAUCAAGGCUGAGGUGUGAUGACGAGGCACUACGGUGCUGAAGUAACAAAUGCCCUGCUUCCAGGAAAAGCCUCUAAGCAUCAGGUAACAUCAAAUCGUACCCCAAACCGACACAGGUGGUCAGGUAGAGAAUACCAAGGCGCUUGAGAGAACUCGGGUGAAGGAACUAGGCAAAAUGGUGCCGUAACUUCGGGAGAAGGCACGCUGGUGUGUAGGUGAAGUCCCUGCGGAUGGAGCUGAGACCAGUCGAAGAUACCAGCUGGCUGCAACUGUUUAUUAAAAACACAGCACUGUGCAAACACGAAAGUGGACGUAUACGGUGUGACGCCUGCCCGGUGCCGGAAGGUUAAUUGAUGGGGUUAUCCGUAAGGAGAAGCUCUUGAUCGAAGCCCCGGUAAACGGCGGCCGUAACUAUAACGGUCCUAAGGUAGCGAAAUUCCUUGUCGGGUAAGUUCCGACCUGCACGAAUGGCGUAAUGAUGGCCAGGCUGUCUCCACCCGAGACUCAGUGAAAUUGAACUCGCUGUGAAGAUGCAGUGUACCCGCGGCAAGACGGAAAGACCCCGUGAACCUUUACUAUAGCUUGACACUGAACAUUGAGCCUUGAUGUGUAGGAUAGGUGGGAGGCUUUGAAGCGUGGACGCCAGUCUGCGUGGAGCCAACCUUGAAAUACCACCCUUUAAUGUUUGAUGUUCUAACGUUGGCCCCUUACCGGGGUUGCGGACAGUGUCUGGUGGGUAGUUUGACUGGGGCGGUCUCCUCCCAAAGCGUAACGGAGGAGCACGAAGGUUAGCUAAUCCUGGUCGGACAUCAGGAGGUUAGUGCAAUGGCAUAAGCUAGCUUGACUGCGAGCGUGACGGCGCGAGCAGGUGCGAAAGCAGGUCAUAGUGAUCCGGUGGUUCUGAAUGGAAGGGCCAUCGCUCAACGGAUAAAAGGUACUCCGGGGAUAACAGGCUGAUACCGCCCAAGAGUUCAUAUCGACGGCGGUGUUUGGCACCUCGAUGUCGGCUCAUCACAUCCUGGGGCUGAAGUAGGUCCCAAGGGUAUGGCUGUUCGCCAUUUAAAGUGGUACGCGAGCUGGGUUUAGAACGUCGUGAGACAGUUCGGUCCCUAUCUGCCGUGGGCGCUGGAGAAUUGAGGGGGGCUGCUCCUAGUACGAGAGGACCGGAGUGGACGCAUCACUGGUGUUCGGGUUGUCAUGCCAAUGGCACUGCCCGGUAGCUAAAUGCGGAAGAGAUAAGUGCUGAAAGCAUCUAAGCACGAAACUUGCCCCGAGAUGAGUUCUCCCUGAGACUUUAAGUCUCCUGAAGGAACGUUGAAGACGACGACGUUGAUAGGCCGGGUGUGUAAGCGCAGCGAUGCGUUGAGCUAACCGGUACUAAUGAACCGUGAGGCUUAACCUU